rnacentral:rRNA from 1 species
UAAACGCAUUAAGCACUCCGCAUAGGGUGUAGGUAGCAAGACUGAAACUCAAAGGAAUUGACGGGGGCCCGCACAAGCGGUGGAGCAUGUGGUUUAAUUAGAAGCAACGCGAAGAACCUUACCAGGUCUUGACAUCCUCUGAAAACCCUAGAGAUAGGGCUUCUCCUUCGGGAGCAGAGUGACAGGUGGUGCAUGGUUGUCGUCAGCUCGUGUCGUGAGAUGUUGGGUUAAGUCCCGCAACGAGCGCAACCCUUGAUCUUAGUUGCCAUCAUUAAGUUGGGCACUCUAAGGUGACUGCCGGUGACAAACCGGAGGAAGGUGGGGAUGACGUCAAAUCAUCAUGCCCCUUAUGACCUGGGCUACACACGUGCUACAAUGGACGGUACAAAGAGCUGCAAGACCGCGAGGUGGAGCUAAUCUCAUAAAACCGUUCUCAGUUCGGAUUGUAGGCUGCAACUCGCCUACAUGAAGCUGGAAUCGCUAGUAAUCGCGGAUCAGCAUGCCGCGGUGAAUACGUUCCCGGGCCUUGUACACACCGCCCGUCACACCACGAGAGUUUGUAACACCCGAAUGUGCGGUGGGNUAACCUUCAGGAGCCAGCCGCAUAGUUGAGNUACU